AAACUUUUGUUCAGUGCUGUGCAGCGUCCAUAAAAUACUAUUUUGGUCAGCAGUGUGGAAAAUUGCGCUUUACAACACUGUGCUUUGGGAACCAUCCAUAAAAAUGGCGUUUCUCGUUGAACAAGAACUGAUUUCUGCGCGAUAUUAGCAUUAAAUAGUUUAUAAACAAAAUUAAAGCGUGUGCACGGCAGCAUAUACAAAUCACGCGAAAUUAUGUAGUUAAACUAGCUGUAACUUCAAUAAACUGUUGCAAAAUAGACCUGUGCGUGCAGCAGCUAACGUGCUUCAUCCGUCGUCGUCGGUUGUCGUUCAUAUAUCAUUUGCUCUCUCGCCGUCUCUCUUUCUCUUGCUUGCAACAUGCGUCCGUCUCAAUGUGUGUGUGUUUGUGUGUGCGACAUGUGCGUGUGAAAUGGUUUUAAGGCAACAGCCAAAGCAGCAGCAGCAUCAAAAACAACAAAAACAGAAGCAAAACAGUUUCGGUUUGCACUUGUUCGCAGCGCCACCGCAACUAACCAACCACACAACAACAACAACACAUGAAUUAUAAAUAUUUCACUGUGCAAACAAUGACACAGAACUGCAACAGCAACAGCAGCAAAAACAACAGAAAUUCUCAAGGCUACAACAA
rnacentral:sRNA from 1 species